UACAGAGGGUGCGAGCGUUUAAUCGGAAUUACUGGGCGUAAAGCGUGCGUAGACGGUUAUUUAAGUCGGGUGUGAAAGCCCCGGGCUCAACCUGGGAAUUGCAUUCGAGACUGAAUAGCUAGGGUACGGUAGAGGGAAGCGGAAUUUCCGGUGUAGCGGUGAAAUGCGUAGAUAUCGGAAGGAACAUCAGUGGCGAAAGCGGCUUCCUGGACCAGUACCGACGUUCAGGCACGAAAGCGUGGGGAGCAAACAGG
rnacentral:rRNA from 1 species